UUUCAGCAACUGAAAAUCGAACUUCAAAUCCUAAUUCAAUGGCCGGUUCCACUGGUGGCACUGGUUCUUCCAGUCCCUCAUCGGCCCCUCCGGCUCCUAAAAUUCUAUUGGCUAAGCCUGGACUGGUUACCGCUGGGCCGGGGGGAGGCAAAAUUUGGCGCGGCUGCCGAAGACGAAACGUUGCCACAUCGGUCUUGUCUGCCUACAAUUCGGUCUCUCAAUAUCCUUUCUGAUUCCUGGGAAUUCCACAUCGAUCG
rnacentral:misc_RNA from 1 species